rnacentral:rRNA from 1 species
CCGGAGAAUGUUAUCACGGGAGACACACGGCGGGUGCUAACGUCCGUCGUGAAGAGGGAAACAACCCAGACCGCCAGCUAAGGUCCCAAAGUCAUGGUUAAGUGGGAAACGAUGUGGGAAGGCCCAGACAGCCAGGAUGUUGGCUUAGAAGCAGCCAUCAUUUAAAGAAAGCGUAAUAGCUCACUGGUCGAGUCGGCCUGCGCGGAAGAUGUAACGGGGCUAAACCAUGCACCGAAGCUGCGGCAGCGAACGUAUCACUUAAAGCGAUUCAGCGGRUKACGAUUGACGGAGCGAAGCGACGUCAAAGCGUAUACAAAGUCGAGUCGGUUUAAGGAUACGUUCGUUGGGUAGGGGAGCGUUCUGUAAGCCUGUGAAGGUGGCCUGUGAGGGUUGCUGGAGGUAUCAGAAGUGCGAAUGCUGACAUAAGUAACGAUAAAGCGGGUGAAAAGCCCGCUCGCCGGAAGACCAAGGGUUCCUGUCCAACGUUAAUCGGGGCAGGGUGAGUCGACCCCUAAGGCGAGGCCGAAAGGCGUAGUCGAUGGGAAACRGGUUAAUAUUCCYGUACUUGGUGUUACUGCGAAGGGGGGACGGAGAAGGCUAUGUUGGCCGGGCGACGGUUGUCCCGGUUUAAGCGUGUAGGCUGGUUUUCCAGGCAAAUCCGGAAAAUCAAGGCUGAGGCGUGAYGACGAGGCACUACGGUGCUGAAGCAACAAAUGCCCUGCUUCCAGGAAAAGCCUCUAAGCAUCAGGUAACAUCAAAUCGUACCCCAAACCGACACAGGUGGUCAGGUAGAGAAUACCAAGGCGCUUGAGAGAACUCGGGUGAAGGAACUAGGCAAAAUGGUGCCGUAACUUCGGGAGAAGGCACGCUGACACGUAGGUGAAGUGAUUUACUCAUGGAGCUGAAGUCAGUCGAAGAUACCAGCUGGCUGCACCGGUAAACGGCGGCCGUAACUAUAACGGUCCUAAGGUAGCGAAAUUCCUUGUCGGGUAAGUUCCGACCUGCACGAAUGGCGUAAUGAUGGCCAGGCUGUCUCCACCCGAGACUCAGUGAAAUUGAACUCGCUGUGAAGAUGCAGUGUACCCGCGGCAAGACGGAAAGACCCCGUGAACCUUUACUAUAGCUUGACACUGAACAUUGAGCCUUGAUGUGUAGGAUAGGUGGGAGGCUUUGAAGUGUGGACGCCAGUCUGCAUGGAGCCGACCUUGAAAUACCACCCUUUAAUGUUUGAUGUUCUAACGUGGACCCGUWAYCCGGGUUGCGGACAGUGUCUGGUGGGUAGUUUGACUGGGGCGGUCUCCUCCUAAAGAGUAACGGAGGAGCACGAAGGUUGGCUAAUCCUGGUCGGACAUCAGGAGGUUAGUGCAAUGGCAUAAGCCAGCUUGACUGCGAGCGUGACGGCGCGAGCAGGUGCGAAAGCAGGUCAUAGUGAUCCGGUGGUUCUGAAUGGAAGGGCCAUCGCUCAACGGAUAAAAGGUACUCCGGGGAUAACAGGCUGAUACCGCCCAAGAGUUCAUAUCGACGGCGGUGUUUGGCACCUCGAUGUCGGCUCAUCACAUCCUGGGGCUGAAGUAGGUCCCAAGGGUAUGGCUGUUCGCCAUUUAAAGUGGUACGCGAGCUGGGUUUAGAACGUCGUGAGACAGUUCGGUCCCUAUCUGCCGUGGGCGCUGGAGAACUGAGGGGGGCUGCUCCUAGUACGAGAGGACCGGAGUGGACGCAUCACUGGUGUUCGGGUUGUCAUGCCAAUGGCACUGCCCGGUAGCUAAAUGCGGAAGAGAUAAGUGCUGAAAGCAUCUAAGCACGAAACUUGCCCCGAGAUGAGUUCUCCCUGAGACUUAUCCCCAUG